AUUGAACGCUGGCGGCAUGCCUUACACAUGCAAGUCGAACGGUAACGGGCCUUCGGGUGCCGACGAGUGGCGAACGGGUGAGUGAUACAUCGGAACGUGCCCGAUCGUGGGGGAUAACGAGGCGAAAGCUUUGCUAAUACCGCAUACGAUCUACGGAUGAAAGCAGGGGACCGCAAGGCCUUGCGCGGACGGAGCGGCCGAUGGCAGAUUAGGUAGUUGGUGGGAUAAAAGCUUACCAAGCCGACGAUCUGUAGCUGGUCUGAGAGGAUGAUCAGCCACACUGGGACUGAGACACGGCCCAGACUCCUACGGGAGGCAGCAGUGGGGAAUUUUGGACAAUGGGCGCAAGCCUGAUCCAGCCAUGCCGCGUGCAGGAUGAAGGCCUUCGGGUUGUAAACUGCUUUUGUACGGAACGAAAAGCCUUCUUUUAAUACAGGAGGGUCAUGACGGUACCGUAAGAAUAAGCACCGGCUAACUACGUG
rnacentral:rRNA from 1 species